rnacentral:sRNA from 1 species
UAGCUUCGAGUUGCGUCCGAACCGUA